AUUGAACGCUGGCGGCAGGCCUAACACAUGCAAGUCGAACGAGUGGCGGACGGGUGAGUAAUGUCUGGGAAACUGCCCGAUGGCGGGGGAUAACUACUUGAAACGGUAGCUAAUACCGCAUACCAUCGGAUGUGCCCAGAUGGGAUUAGCUAGUAGGUGGGGUAACGGCUCACCUAGGCGACGAUCCCUAGCUGGUCUGAGAGGAUGACCAGCGACACUAGAACGGAGCCCAGGUCCAGACUCAGACGAGAGGGAGGGGUGGGGAAUAUUGCACAAUGGGAGCAAGGCUGAUGCAGCCAUGCCGAGUGUAUGAAGAAGGCCAUCGGGUUGUAAAGGACUUUCAGCGAGGAGGCGUUACUCGCAGAAGAAGCACCGGCUAACUCCGUGCCAGCAGCCGAGGUAAUAC
rnacentral:rRNA from 1 species